rnacentral:rRNA from 1 species
AUUGAACGCUGGCGGCAUGCCUUACACAUGCAAGUCGAACGGUAACGGGCCUUCGGGUGCCGACGAGUGGCGAACGGGUGAGUAAUACAUCGGAACGUGCACGAUCGUGGGGGAUAACGAGGCGAAAGCUUUGCUAAUACCGCAUACGAUCUACGGAUGAAAGCAGGGGACCGCAAGGCCUUGCGCGGACGGAGCGGCCGAUGGCAGAUUAGGUAGUUGGUGGGAUAAAAGCUUACCAAGCCGACGAUCUGUAGCUGGUCUGAGAGGAUGAUCAGCCACACUGGGACUGAGACACGGCCCAGACUCCUACGGGAGGCAGCAGUGGGGAGUUUUGGACAAUGGGCGCAAGCCUGAUCCAGCCAUGCCGCGUGCAGGAUGAAGGCCUUCGGGUUGUAAACCGCUUUUGUACGGAACGAAAGGCCUUCUUUUAAUACAGGAGGGUCAUGACGGUACCGUAAGAAUAAGCACCGGCUAACUACGUG